AGAAAGUACUGGAUAAUCGUUAGUAUCAAAAUAGAAACCGAUUAAUUGAAGAUCCAGUAUUGUGCCAUAAUCUGGGUGGCACAGAGUGUAUUUUUACUCUAUGUGGGUGGUACUGGAUAUAGGGCCUACGUUAGUAUCAAAGUAUGUGUAUAACUGUCUAUGAUUUAGCCAGAAUUUGAAGAUCCAGAAUUGUGCAGCUAGGCUUAGCUGGAUUUUAAAAUUCAGAAUGUCAAAGCGAGGAUCAACUUCUGUUAGAGUAAGAAGAAGACAGAGUGAUGCAAAGUGGAGAGCCAGUGUAGCUACAUGUUACGAUACAUUAAAAUUCGUUAUGCCCUAUGCUCCAAAAUUAUCCAAGAAAAAAAUUUCCAAGGCUCUAAUACUGGAUGAAACAGAACAGCACAUAAACUAUUUGGAAUAUACUCUUUCGGCACUAUUUGAUUCAAUGGCUCAUAGAUGUGGUAAAGCUGUUCUUUGGCAAUUAGGAGAUAAAUAUCAUCAAAUAUCUCUUCAAGAUAUUAAAGCUGAUUUCGAAGAGAAACAAGCAGCAAUAUUUUCACAAUCGUCUCAGGGUAGAAGAAGAUAUCACCUGUUGUCAGAUAUAGAGGAUCAGAUUGUUAAUAUGUCAGUUAAAUGUGAACAACUAGCUAUAGUACCCAGAAGUGUUUUAAUUCAAGACAACAGAGAAACCUUAAGAAAGGUAAAUGAAGAUAUGAAUCAACCAGAUGAUGAUAAUGUAUUAUGUUGGGGAGUAUAUGAAGAUGAUGAUACUUGUACAUCUUUAUCUCAGUAUGAAUACUAAUAACAUAUGCUCAUCUUUUGAAAUUUUCACUAAUCCUUAUACAAAGCAGUCAAUGUUUCCUAUUAUACGCCCACAUUUUCAUGUGGACGUUAUUGUCGUCGCCCCUUUCCGUCCGGAGGUCCGUUCACAAUUUGUUUGUGGACACUCUACAUGUCACAAUUUUUAUCCAAUUUUGACGAAACUUGAAAUAUAGGUCUAUCUCCCAAAGAUCUAGGUUCCUUUCGAUAUUGGCAUGUAUCGGACCAUAUUGUCAUGGAUUAUAGCCUCUGAUUGUACGAAAAAUUACGAUUUUGGCUUGUGGACACUCUAGAGGUCACAAUUUUGAUGAAACUUGAAAUGCAUGUUUAUAACCCAAAUAUCUUGUUUCCUUUCGAUAUUGGCGCAUAUCGGAUUGUAACUUCCUGAAUUAUGACCCCUGAUUGUACGAAAAAUCGCGUUUUUAGAUUGUGGUCCCUCUAGAGGUCACAAUUUUUAUCCAAUUUAAAACACCGUUUUAGUAUAUCACCGUUACACCCUGAUGAUGAUUGAGUUCCAAUUUCGUGAAAAUCGGACAAAACUGAUAAUGGCCACCUCUUGUACGCAAAUAGUGUAAAAUAUGAUAUAUCAAGGUUGUGGACCUUUUAGAAGCCACAGUAUUUAUCCGAUUUUGAUAAAACUUUAAAUAUAUGUUUUUAUCAUAAAGAUCUUGGUUCCUUUUGAUAAUCACACAUAUCCGAACGUAACUUCCUAGAUUAUGGCCCCUGAUUGGUCGAAAAUCGUAUUUUUAGCUUGUGGAUUCUCUAGCGGUCACAAUUUUUUUCCGAUUUUAAUAACCGUUUAGAUAUAUCACCAUUCCACCAUAAUGAAGGUUGAAUAGGAAUUUCGGGAAAAUCGAAAUGAAACUGCCCGACAAAAUGGCCGCUCUUUGUACGCAAAUUGUUUAUAAGUAUGUAAUACAAAGGUUAUGGACCCUCUAGAGGUCACAUUUUUUUUUCCGAUUUUGAUGAAACUUAAAACAUAUCUUUAUAUUCCAAAAAUCUCAGUCCCUUUUGAUAUUUGCGUAUUUCUGGAUUAUGGGCCUGAUUGUUCAAUAAAUGGUUUUUGUUUUUAGCGUGUUCUCUAUCCAUCUCUUGCAAAAUGUGGGCGUAUCCUGCCUGGCAGCCGCUGAUUUUAUUUGGCACAAUAAUGAAAGCUAACACCAGAAGCUUGGAUUUAGGGUAGUGUGACCUGUAUUAUGAUUGAAAGCGGUGGACACAUUAGCCGAAUCAUUCGGCCUAAUAAAUCGGCGCCACAUUUUAUUAAGCUAAUGGGUGGACACACUAGGCGAAUCCUUCGCCCGAUUCACCAGUCAAUUGCAUCAUCUUUCACGUAACAUGAUUAACCAUGGCGGCGAGCAUGUUUUCAAAUAAUUACGUAACUUCUAGAUAUGAGUGGAUGAUGAAUAGUGAUUGGCGAAUGAAUUCUACAAUUGGCACCGCACUUGGUGAAUUUCGACGCCGAUUGAUUCGGCCGAAUCAUUCGGCUAGUUUGUCCACUGCUUUACAGACAUUUUUUCAUCAUGCUGGCAAUUCAGCCACAUGAAAAAAAUACCUGCUAAGUAACAGGUAUGUUUUGAUAUAUCUGAUCAUUUGUUAAUUUUUCUGUGUUUCAAAUUCAUGUAUUGGCUACAUAAUAAAAUCCUUAUCAUCAACAAGCAUCUAAUUAUUAAAGUCUGUUGUGGAUGUAGUAGGUUUAAAUUUCAGAUGCACAAUAAAUUAUCUGUUACCUUAACACAGGGAGAGAUAUGAUUAACUCCCAUGUAAUGUGCUAGACCAGUUCAGGAGUAAGGUAAGGGAAUGCUAACCCUUUUCAGAUAUAAGGAUGGGAUCAUUUU